ACUCUAAGCGGUGGAUCACUCGGCUCAUGGGUCGAUGAAGAACGCAGCAAACUGUGCGUCAUCGUGUGAACUGCAGGACACAUGAACAUCGACAUUUUGAACGCAUAUCGCAGUCCAUGCUGUUAUGUACUUUAAUUAAUUUUAUAGUGCUGCUUGGACUACAUAUGGUUGAGGGUUGUAAGACUAUGCUAAUUAAGUUGCUUAUAAAUUUUUAUAAGCAUAUGGUAUAUUAUUGGAUAAAUAUAAUAAUUUUUAUUCAUAAUAUUAAAAAAUAAAUGAAAAACAUUAUCUCACAUUUGAAUGUGAAAAACGAAGAGAAAUAUUUUCUUUUUCAAUCAAAUAAUACUGAGAAAUGUCUAGCAUAAAAAAUUGAAAUAUUUUUCAUCUAGAAUUGUCUCUUAUUAAUGAUUCGGAAAUAGAAAAAUCUUGGUUAUGUUAUUAUUCUUCGUUGGUUCGUUAAAAAUGGAUAAAUAAAAACUUUGCAUACAAGAAUUAAUAAAAAUGUUAUAACGAAUUUAAUUAAAUGUUUUAUCAUUAUAUAUAAAGAAUUUAUGGCAAGAUAAAGUUAUAUACAACCUCAACUCAUAUGGGACUACCCCCUGAAUUUAAGCAUAUUAAUUAGGGGAGGAAAAGAAACUAACAAGGAUUUUCUUAGUAGCGGCGAGCGAAAAGAAAACAGUUCAGCACUAAGUCACUUUGUCUAUAUGGCAAAUGUGAGAUGCAGUGUAUGGAGCGUCAAUAUUCUAGUAUGAGAAAUUAACGAUUUAAGUCCUUCUUAAAUGAGGCCAUUUACCCAUAGAGGGUGCCAGGCCCGUAUAACGUUAAUGAUUACUAGAUGAUGUUUCCAAAGAGUCGUGUUGCUUGAUAGUGCAGCACUAAGUGGGUGGUAAACUCCAUCUAAAACUAAAUAUAACCAUGAGACCGAUAGUAAACAAGUACCGUGAGGGAAAGUUGAAAAGAACUCUGAAUAGAGAGUUAAACAGUACGUGAAACUGCUUAGAGGUUAAGCCCGAUGAACCUGAAUAUCCGUUAUGGAAAAUUCAUCAUUAAAAUUGUAAUAUUUAAAUAAUAUUAUGAGAAUAGUGUGCAUUUUUUCCAUAUAAGGACAUUGUAAUCUAUUAGCAUAUACCAAAUUUAUCAUAAAAUAUAACUUAUAGUUUAUUCCAAUUAAAUUGCUUGCAUUUUAACACAGAAUAAAUGUUAUUAAUUUGAUAAAGUGCUGAUAGAUUUAUAUGAUUACAGUGCGUUAAUUUUUCGGAAUUAUAUAAUGGCAUAAUUAUCAUUGAUUUUUGUGUUUAUUAUAUGCACUUGUAUGAUUAACAAUGCGAAAGAUUCAGGAUACCUUCGGGACCCGUCUUGAAACACGGACCAAGGAGUCUAACAUAUGUGCAAGUUAUUGGGAUAUAAACCUAAUAGCGUAAUUAACUUGACUAAUAAUGGAUUAGUUUUUUAGCUAUUUAUAGCUAAUUAACACAAUCCCGGGGCGUUCUAUAUAGUUAUGUAUAAUGUAUAUUUAUAUUAUUUAUGCCUCUAACUGGAACGUACCUUGAGCAUAUAUGCUGUGACCCGAAAGAUGGUGAACUAUACUUGAUCAGGUUGAAGUCAGGGGAAACCCUGAUGGAAGACCGAAACAGUUCUGACGUGCAAAUCGAUUGUCAGAAUUGAGUAUAGGGGCGAAAGACCAAUCGAACCAUCUAGUAGCUGGUUCCUUCCGAAGUUUCCCUCAGGAUAGCUGGUGCAUUUUAAUAUUAUAUAAAAUAAUCUUAUCUGGUAAAGCGAAUGAUUAGAGGCCUUAGGGUCGAAACGAUCUUAACCUAUUCUCAAACUUUAAAUGGGUAAGAACCUUAACUUUCUUGAUAUGAAGUUCAAGGUUAUGAUAUAAUGUGCCCAGUGGGCCACUUUUGGUAAGCAGAACUGGCGCUGUGGGAUGAACCAAACGUAAUGUUACGGUGCCCAAAUUAACAACUCAUGCAGAUACCAUGAAAGGCGUUGGUUGCUUAAAACAGCAGGACGGUGAUCAUGGAAGUCGAAAUCCGCUAAGGAGUGUGUAACAACUCACCUGCCGAAGCAACUAGCCCUUAAAAUGGAUGGCGCUUAAGUUGUAUACCUAUACAUUACCGCUAAAGUAGAUGAUUUAUAUUACUUGUGAUAUAAAUUUUGAAACUUUAGUGAGUAGGAAGGUACAAUGGUAUGCGUAGAAGUGUUUGGCGUAAGCCUGCAUGGAGCUGCCAUUGGUACAGAUCUUGGUGGUAGUAGCAAAUAAUCGAAUGAGACCUUGGAGGACUGAAGUGGAGAAGGGUUUCGUGUGAACAGUGGUUGAUCACGAGUUAGUCGGUCCUAAGUUCAAGGCGAAAGCCGAAAAUUUUCAAGUAAAACAAAAAUGCCUAACUAUAUAAACAAAGCGAAUUAUAAUACACUUGAAUAAUUUUGAACGAAAGGGAAUACGGUUCCAAUUCCGUAACCUGUUGAGUAUCCGUUUGUUAUUAAAUAUGGGCCUCGUGCUCAUCCUGGCAACAGGAACGACCAUAAAGAAGCCGUCGAGAGAUAUCGGAAGAGUUUCUUUUCUGUUUUAUAGCCGUACUACCAUGGAAGUCUUUCGCAGAGAGAUAUGGUAGAUGGGCUAGAAGAGCAUGACAUAUACUGUUGUGUCGAUAUUUUCUCCUCGGACCUUGAAAAUUUAUGGUGGGGACACGCAAACUUCUCAACAGGCCGUACCAAUAUCCGCAGCUGGUCUCCAAGGUGAAGAGUCUCUAGUCGAUAGAAUAAUGUAGGUAAGGGAAGUCGGCAAAUUAGAUCCGUAACUUCGGGAUAAGGAUUGGCUCUGAAGAUUGAGAUAGUCGGGCUUGAUUGGGAAACAAUAACAUGGUUUAUGUGCUCGUUCUGGGUAAAUAGAGUUUCUAGCAUUUAUGUUAGUUACUUGUUCCCCGGAUAGUUUAGUUACGUAGCCAAUUGUGGAACUUUCUUGCUAAAAUUUUUAAGAAUACUAUUUGGGUUAAACCAAUUAGUUCUUAUUAAUUAUAACGAUUAUCAAUUAACAAUCAAUUCAGAACUGGCACGGACUUGGGGAAUCCGACUGUCUAAUUAAAACAAAGCAUUGUGAUGGCCCUAGCGGGUGUUGACACAAUGUGAUUUCUGCCCAGUGCUCUGAAUGUCAAAGUGAAGAAAUUCAAGUAAGCGCGGGUCAACGGCGGGAGUAACUAUGACUCUCUUAAGGUAGCCAAAUGCCUCGUCAUCUAAUUAGUGACGCGCAUGAAUGGAUUAACGAGAUUCCUACUGUCCCUAUCUACUAUCUAGGCGAAACCACAGCCAAGGGAACGCGGCUUGGAAUAAUUAGCGGCGAAAGAAGACCCUUUUGAGCUUGACUCUAAUCUGGCAGUGUAAGGAGACAUAAGAGUGUGUAGAAUAAGUGGGAGAUAUUAGACCUCGCGUUUGGUAUCGUCAAUGAAAUACCAUACUCUAUUGUUCCUUACUUACUUGAUUAAAUGGAACGUGUAUCAUUUCCUAGCCAUUAUACGGAUAUAUUUAUUAUAUCUUAUGGAUUGUGGUUUUGAUGCAAGCUUCUUGAUCAAAGUAUCACGAGUUUGUU
rnacentral:rRNA from 1 species